rfam:Hordeum vulgare subsp. vulgare, WGS project CAJW01000000 data, contig: morex_contig_58160
AUAAUACUCUCUCCGUCCUAAAAUUAUUGUCUUAGAUUUAUCUAGAUAUGGAUGUAUUUAGUUAAAUUUUAGUAUUUAGAUACAUUCAUUUUUAAACAAACCUAAAACAAGAAUUUUGGAACGGAGGAAAUAAUAG